rnacentral:rRNA from 1 species
AUUGAACGCUGGCGGCAUGCCUUACACAUGCAAGUCGAACGGUAACGGGCCUUCGGGUGCCGACGAGUGGCGAACGGGUGAGUAAUGCAUCGGAACGUACCUUUCAGUGGGGGAUAACGUAGCGAAAGUUACGCUAAUACCGCAUAUUCUGUGAGCAGGAAAGCAGGGGAUCGCAAGACCUUGCGCUGAUUGAGCGGCCGAUGUCAGAUUAGCUAGUUGGUGAGGUAAAGGCUCACCAAGGCGACGAUCUGUAGCGGGUCUGAGAGGAUGAUCCGCCACACUGGAACUGAGACACGGUCCAGACUCCUACGGGAGGCAGCAGUGGGGAAUUUUGGACAAUGGGGGCGACCCUGAUCCAGCCAUGCCGCGUGAGUGAAGAAGGCCUUCGGGUUGUGAAGCUCUUUCGGCCGGGAAGAAAUCGUAUGGGCUAAUACCCUGUGCGGAUGACGGUACCGGCAUAAGAAGCACCGGCUAACUACGUGCCAGCAGCCGCGGUAA